rnacentral:lncRNA from 1 species
GGAAACCAAUUCUUCUUUGUCUUAUGGUGCUUCUGCUGCUAGGAAAUUCCACUUAUGCUGGUACGAAAUGGAUUUUCAUGUACCUAUUUUCCUGCCGAUUAGAGGAUAGUAAUAUUGGUAGUUGACAUGCACGAGUUUCUUUGUUCCUCAAUUUGAACUUCUUUCAAUGAUUUAUCUUCUUGCCUACAGAAAAUUGCAAAACGCAAAUUGCUUAUGGGGCCACUCUGUGCGCAUUUUAUACUUGCCUGAGUACAUGCACAUCUAUAUAUGGGAAACUCGUCAAGGAAGCAGAUUGCAAGCCCGUCAGACCUUAUUAUACUAAUUGUUCUUGCCUCCUCUGCGUCUAGCAUUACUCUUUGCCAUGAUGUAAAACAAUGGGCAAUGAUGUGAGCCAGUAAUAAAA